rnacentral:rRNA from 1 species
AAGGGCGUGCUAAUCUGCGAUAAGCGCCGGUAAGGUGAUAUGAACCGUUAUAACCGGCGAUACCCGAAUGGGGAAACCCAGUGUGACUCGUCACACUAUCAUUAACUGAAUCCAUAGGUUAAUGAGGCGAACCGGGGGAACUGAAACAUCUAAGUACCCCGAGGAAAAGAAAUCAACCGAGAUUCCCCCAGUAGCGGCGAGCGAACGGGGAGGAGCCCAGAGCCUGAAUCAGCAUGUGUGUUAGUGGAAGCGUCUGGAAAGGCGCGCGAUACAGGGUGACAGCCCCGUACACAAAAGCGCAUGUGCUGUGAGCUCGAUGAGUAGGGCGGGACACGUGGUAUCCUGUCUGAAUAUGGGGGGACCAUCCUCCAAGGCUAAAUACUCCUGACUGACCGAUAGUGAACCAGUACCGUGAGGGAAAGGCGAAAAGAACCCCGGCGAGGGGAGUGAAAAAGAACCUGAAACCGUGUACGUACAAGCAGUGGGAGCACAGGUUUACCUGUGUGACUGCGUACCUUUUGUAUAAUGGGUCAGCGACUUAUAUUCUGUAGCAAGGUUAACCGAAUAGGGGAGCCGGAGGGAAACCGAGUCUUAAUUGGGCGUUAAGUUGCAGGGUAUAGACCCGAAACCCGGUGAUCUAGCCAUGGGCAGGUUGAAGGUUGGGUAACACUAACUGGAGGACCGAACCGACUAAUGUUGAAAAAUUAGCGGAUGACCUGUGGCUGGGGGUGAAAGGCCAAUCAAACCGGGAGAUAGCUGGUUCUCCCCGAAAGCUAUUUAGGUAGCGCCUCGUGAAUUCAUCUCCGGGGGUAGAGCACUGUUUCGGCUAGGGGGCCAUCCCGGCUUACCAACCCGAUGCAAACUGCGAAUACCGGAGAAUGUUAUCACGGGAGACACACGGCGGGUGCUAACGUCCGUCGUGAAGAGGGAAACAACCCAGACCGCCAGCUAAGGUCCCAAAGUCAUGGUUAAGUGGGAAACGAUGUGGGAAGGCCCAGACAGCCAGGAUGUUGGCUUAGAAGCAGCCAUCAUUUAAAGAAAGCGUAAUAGCUCACUGGUCGAGUCGGCCUGCGCGGAAGAUGUAACGGGGCUAAACCAUG